GACGAACGCUGGCGGCGUGCUUAACACAUGCAAGUCGAGCGGUAAGGCCCUUUCGGGGGUACACGAGCGGCGAACGGGUGAGUAACACGUGGGUGACCUGCCCUCAGCUCUGGGAUAAGCCUGGGAAACCGGGUCUAAUACCGGAUAUGACUCCAUGACGCAUGUUGUGGGGUGGAAAGCCUUGUGCGGCUGAGGAUGGGCCCGCGGCCUAUCAGCUUGUUGGUGGGGUGAUGGCCUACCAAGGCGACGACGGGUAGCCGGCCUGAGAGGGCGACCGGCCACACUGGGACUGAGACACGGCCCAGGCUCCUACGGGAGGCAGCAGUGGGGAAUCUUACGCAAUGGGCGAAAGCCUGACGCAGCGACGCCGCGUGAGGGAUGACGGCCU
rnacentral:rRNA from 1 species